rnacentral:rRNA from 1 species
UACUUGGUGGCGACCGGCGCACGGGUGAGUAACGCGUAUGCAACCUACCUAUCGAGAGGGGAAUAACCCGGCGAAAGUCGGACUAAUACCGCAUAAAACAGGGGCACCGCAUGGUGAUAUUUGUUAAAGAAAUUCGCUGAUAGAUGGGCAUGCGUUCCAUUAGGUAGUUGGUGAGGUAACGGCUCACCAAGCCGACGAUGGAUAGGGGAACUGAGAGGUUGGUCCCCCACACUGGUACUGAGACACGGACCAGACUCCUACGGGAGGCAGCAGUGAGGAAUAUUGGUCAAUGGGCGGGAGCCUGAACCAGCCAAGUCGCGUGAAGGAAAGAAGGAUCUAUGGUUCGUAAACUUCUUUUGCAGGGGAAUAAAGUGCAGGACGUGUCCUGCUUUGUAUGUACCCUGAGAAUAAGGAUCGGCUAACUCCGUGCCAGCCGCAGC